UAUGUGAUCGUCUCUCGCAUAUCAAUAAGCGGAGGAAAAGAAACUAACAAGGAUUCCCCUAGUAACGGCGAGUGAAGCGGGAAGAGCUCAAAUUUGAAAUCUUAAAGGGUUUCCCUUUACGAAUUGUAGUUUAAAGAAGUGUUUUCUGUUGAGGUUUUGGUAUAAAGUUCUUUGGAAUAGGACAUCAUAGAGGGUGAGAAUCCCGUAUUUGACCUUUACUUUCAACUUUGUGAUACACUUUCAAAGAGUCGGAUUGUUUGGGAAUGCAGUCCAAAAUGGGUGGUAAAUUUCAUCUAAAGCUAAAUAUUGGCGAGAGACCGAUAGCGAACAAGUACCGUGAGGGAAAGAUGAAAAGAACUUUGAAAAGAGAGUUAAACAGUACGUGAAAUUGUCAAAAGGGAAGCGUUUGACACCAGUGUUGUUUUUCUGAAAAUCAAUUAAAGAACUGUUUAUGCUAAGCUGUUAGACUUUAUCAGCUAUCUGUUUAGUUUUGAGCUUUUCUUUAAUGCACUUUUCAGUUAACAAGUCAACAUCAAUUUCUUUUGCUGUAAAAAAGCUUGAGGAAGGUGGCUUGAGAUUCGUCUUAAGUGUUUAUAGCCUCUUGCCUAUGCAGUCGGAGAGAUUGAGGUCUGCAGCGUAGAUCCUUCGGGGCUAAAUGCAUUUGUGCUAAGUUAUAGCAUUUUAUAGACAACUUGUUGACUAUGAUUUGUCUUGUAGCUUACUCGCUUAUGUUAUUUUACCUACGCUUAGGAUGUUGAGCGCAUGUCUCUCUCU
rnacentral:rRNA from 1 species